UUACUGCCAGCUGCCUUGCGCAGGUCGUC
rnacentral:sRNA from 1 species